rnacentral:tRNA from 1 species
GCCUGGGUGGCUUAGUUGGUUAAGCGUCCGAAUUCAGCUCAGGUCAUGAACUCGUGGUUCGUGGGUUUGAGCCCCACAUCAGGCU